CAGUCGCCGCGGUAAUACGAAGGGGGCUAGCGCUGUUCGGAAUUACUGGGCGUAAAACGCACGCAGGCGGCUCGAUAAAUUAGAAGUGAAAGCCUUGGGCUUAACCUGAGAAUUGCUUUUAAGACUGUCGAGCUAGAAUCCAGAAGAGGGUAGUGGAAUUUAUGGUGUAGCAGUGAAAUGCGUAGAUAUCAUAAGGAACACCGGUGGCGAAGGCGGUUACCUGGAAGAUUCCUGACUCUGAAACACGAAAGCCAGGGGAGCAAACGGGAUUAGAGACCCCCGUAGUCCCUGUCUCUUAUAC
rnacentral:rRNA from 1 species